GUCAAAUCAUACGGAAAGCACCAGUUCUCCUUUGAUCACCAAAGUUAAGCAGCAUUGAGCUUGGUCAGUACUUAAAUGGGGCACUGUUUGAAAACACUGGGUA